UACGUAGGGUCCGAGCGUUGUCCGGAGUUACUGGGCGUAAAGCGCGCGCAGGCGGCGGUGCUGGCCCGGCGUGAAAGCCCCCGGCUCAACCGGGGAGAGUCGUCGGGGACCGCACCGCUUGAGGGCGGUAGGGGCUGGUGGAAUGCCUGGUGUAGUGGUGAAAUGCGUAGAGAUCGUGAGGAAGACCCGUGGCGAAGGCGGAUCUCUGGACGGCUAACUGACGCUGAGGCGCGAAGGCCAGGGGAGCAAACGGG
rnacentral:rRNA from 1 species